UGCGUGGCAGCAUGGGUCAAAAAAAGCUGUGUCCUUGUCUCUAGAAUCUGUGUGCUGAAUCUCAAUCUUCUAACUUUUAUAGUUCCUGAGGUCUCGACGUUCAUACGGACAGACGGAUCCUGAUCAAGAAUGAAAUAGCAGUGCAAGAGAAACUAUGAAAUACAAAAUUAUUUUUCCAUAUCCCUUUUAGGGAGCGAUUUUUAAAUUCCCGUUAUUUUUUCAUGUUAUCCUUUGUUUCUUUACAUUCUUGAGCAAUUCCCAACCUUUAAGCUGUUCAUUAGAAUAGCAGUGUCUGGUUUUGUCCAACGUAAAGUCCAGAAAUUAUCAAUAUUUUCUAAAAAUGGGUAGAGGACAGCACUGUUACCAGGACAAAAGAAUGUUCAGUCUUAAGAUAAGAAAGGACGGUAAACCAUACAAAGAAAUUCAAAAAAUCCUUGAAUGUUCUGCCAAAAUGGCAUCCAGUGCCAUUAAAAAUCAAUGGAAGCUCGAAAACCGUUGUGCCAUAGGGACAUGAAGUCUGAGCUGAAGUUGGGAAUCAGUGACGUUACAAUUCGGAGACGACUACAAGGUUAAACUUCGCUAAAACCUACAUAAGAUCGCCAGUCUCCAAAUGGCGUAAUAUUCUUUGGACUGAUGGGUAAAUUUUUUUUUUAUUUUAUCAAAAUUAAAUUUAGUAUUAUAUACCAAACUUUAUAUAUGUAUAUUGAGAACAAGUACUGGUUGCUGGAGCCUUCGACUGGAAAUUUUAUUUACAUAUGUCGUCUCAAAUAUAUAAUUUAGUUUUUUUUAUAAAAUUGUACAGAUUUUUAAUGUUUUCUUUUCAGGGAAUGUUUAGAGAAGGGUGGAUGGGAUUUGGGAAGCAAACUGAGAGAACUUAAUGCUCUCAAGUUUAUAGAAAGUAUCCAAAAUGUGUUCGACGGAUAGAUUUUCCCUGCAUAAUGGGCACGGAGUUGGAGUCGUUUCGGCUAACAGGUGUUUGUGGGUGCAUUGGGUGUGCGCGAUCCUCGUCUCCCGAGGUUGGGUGAGAAGUAUGUUUUGGU